CUUAUAAUCCUUAUUCAUAUCAGCUUACAACCAAAACAUAUCACAUACAAAUGUAUAUCCCUUGCCAACAGUAACACCGUUUGAAUACACUACAGUAUAUUCUAUAGCUUUUCACAUUGAUUAACCAAAAGCGAUUGAGCAACGGUACAAAUUCCGAUUCUCACAGAAAGACAGCCACGCUAGGCAGGAGGGCAAAAGGUAAAGCGAUAUAAAGGAAGCGUAGACAUCAUUAUUUUGAAA